rnacentral:rRNA from 1 species
CCUACGGGAGGCAGCAGUGGGGAAUAUUGGACAAUGGGGGGAACCCUGAUCCAGCCAUGCCGCGUGUGUGAAGAAGGCCCUCGGGUUGUAAAGCACUUUCAGUGAGGAAGAACGCCUGGUGGUUAAUACCCAUCAGGAAAGACAUCACUCACAGAAGAAGCACCGGCUAACUCCGUGCCAGCAGCCGCGGUAAUACGGAGGGUGCGAGCGUUAAUCGGAAUUACUGGGCGUAAAGCGCGCGUAGGUGGCUUGAUAAGCCGGUUGUGAAAGCCCCGGGCUCAACCUGGGAACGGCAUCCGGAACUGUCGAGCUAGAGUGCAGGAGAGGAAGGUAGAAUUCCCGGUGUAGCGGUGAAAUGCGUAGAGAUCGGGAGGAAUACCAGUGGCGAAGGCGGCCUUCUGGACUGACACUGACACUGAGGUGCGAAAGCGUGGGUAGCAAACAGGAUUAGAUACCCGAGUAGUC